CACUGCUACUGGUAAGCAACAAAACUCCCUCUCUCGAUGUUGUUUAAACUUUUCACGGCUUUUUCCAGUAGUAACAAAAUAACCCAUAACAGAGAGAAAGCUCCACGACUUCAACAUUUCUGGAGAAAGCUGCUGCCGGAGAAGUAACGUUAGGACACAGAACAAGUCUGUGACUGACUUAAUGAACCCAGUUGCUUUGGAUCAUGCUCAAAGAUGUA